UACGGAGGGGGCUAGCGUUGUUCGGAAUUACUGGGCGUAAAGCGCGCGUAGGCGGCUUAGCAAGUUAGAGGUGAAAGCCCGAAGCUCAACUUCGGAAUUGCCUUUAAAACUGCAAAGCUAGAAUCAUGGAGAGGUGAGUGGAAUUCCGAGUGUAGAGGUGAAAUUCGUAGAUAUUCGGAAGAACACCAGUGGCGAAGGCGGCUCACUGGACUGGUAUUGACGCUGAGGUGCGAAAGCGUGGGGAGCAAACAGG
rnacentral:rRNA from 1 species